GGCAUCCUGGUGCUUACCACAGGCUGUGUUCUUACACUGCCUGUAUAGAAAGAGGAGGCAAAGUAAACCUUCCCCAUAUACAGGCCCUGUGCCUGGUCUGUAUUGUGAAUGGGAAGACAUGG
rnacentral:snoRNA from 1 species